rnacentral:lncRNA from 13 species
GGUGACCGUGGACCAGCCGGCGCACCAGGAGUAUCAGGGACACCGGGAAAGCCAGGAUCUCCUGGGUCCCCAGGGAUGCCAGGAGAGCCUGUAAGUACAGAUUUGAGUUCUGGAUCCUUAUGAUAGCAAACAAAUAUUUCAGACUCUUAAUGCAAGAUUUUUCAUGCAGAUUUAUAUGUGCGUUUCCUUCUUUCUUAGGGUGAAAGAGGACCUAAUGGAGAGAUUGGCUUCCCUGGUCCAGAAGGGCCACAAGGAAAACCAGGAAUCAAUGGAAAAGAUGGAUUGCCAGGUCCUCCGGUAAGAGAACAUGGUUCUGUGUAUUUUAUUCUUCACAAAUACCACAGCUGUUCGUCCAGGGCAGUUGCUUGCUGUUCUGCUAACACAUGAAUAUACAACAAAGCCUUUAAUUGAUAAGUUUAUGUUUUCUCAAAAACCAUUUUUCAGGGUGCUGUGGGGAGACCAGGAGACAGAGGACCCAAAGGAGAACGUGGAGAUCAGGGUAUUCCGGGGGAUAGAGGUCCACAGGGUGAACGAGGGAAACCUGGCCCAUCAGGAGAAAAGGGGGAUGUGGGUCCUGUUGGUCCUCCAGGAGACAGAGGCUACCCAGGAUCACCAGGUCAUCAAGGUCCCCCAGGUUCACCAGGACCCCCAGGGUUUUCAGUAAGUAAAUAUAAGUUUACCUUGGUUACUUGUGAAUUCAGUUAUGAAGGUAGCAUGGGCUGAGCAGUGGCA